ensembl:miRNA
UAUUAGGUUGGUGAAAAAGUAAUCGAGGUUUUUGUCAUUACUUUUAAUGGCAAAAAACUGCAAUUACUUUUGCACCAACCUAAAA